rnacentral:siRNA from 1 species
UUGGAUUGGGUCCUCGUCAGGU